UUCUGGUUGAUCCCGCCGGAGGUCACUGCUAUUGGGAUUCGACUAAGCCAUGCGAGUCGAGAGGGUUCGGCCCUCGGCUGACGGCUCAGUAACACGUGGAUAAUCUGCCCUUAGGUGGAGGAUAAUCUCGGGAAACUGAGAAUAAUACUCCAUAGGUCUAAGAUGCUGGAAUGCACUCAGGCUUAAAACUCCGGUGCCUAAGGAUGAGUCUGCGGACUAUCAGGUUGUAGUCAGGGUAAUGACCUGACUAGCCUACGACGGAUACGGGUUGUGAGAGCAAUAACCCGGAGACGAUAUCUGAGACACGAUAUCGGGCCCUACGGGGCGCAGCAGGCGCGAAACCUUCACAAUGUGCGAAAGCACGAUGAGGGGAUCCCAAGUGCUUGCUCGUAAGAGUAAGCUGUUUUUAUGUCUAAAAAGCAUAGAGAGUAAGGGCUGGGUAAGACGGGUGCCAGCCGCCGCGGUAA
rnacentral:rRNA from 1 species